UCUACGGGUGGCAGCAGUGGGGACUAUUGCACAAUGGGCGCAAGCCUGAUGCAGCGACGCCGCGUGCGGGAUGGAGGCCUUCGGGUUGUAAACCGCUUUUGUUCAAGGGCAAGGCACGGUCUUUGGCCGUGUUGAGUGGAUUGUUCGAAUAAGCACCGGCUAACUACGUGCCAGCCGCCGCGGUAAUACGUAGGGGGCAAGCGUUAUCCGGAUGUAGUGGGCGUAAAGGGCUCGUAGGCGGUUCGUCGCGUCCGGGGUGAAAGGCCAUCGCUUAACGGGGGCUCCGCGCAGGGUACGGGCGGGCUUGAGUGCGGUAGGGGAGACUGGAAUUCCGGGGGUAACGGUGGAAUGUGUAGAUAUCGGGAAGAACACCAAUGGCGAAGGCAGGUCUCUGGGCCGUUACUGACGCUGAGGAGCGAAAGCGUGGGGAGCGAACAGGAUUAGAUACCCGAGUAGUC
rnacentral:rRNA from 1 species